GACGAACGCUGGCGGCGUGCUUAACACAUGCAAGUCGAGCGGAGCGGCGAACGGGUGAGUAACGCGUGAGUAACUGCCCCCCUCUCUGGGCUAACAGUUGGAAACGGCUGCUAAUACCGGAUAGUGGGGGGGGACUGGUGGCCUAUCAGCUUGUUGGUGGGUUAGUGGCCUACCAAGGCAACGACGGGUAGCCGGCCUGAGCGGGCGACCGGCCACAGGGGGCUGAGAUACGGCCCAAACGCCUACGGGAGGCAGCAGUGGGGAAUAUUGCACAAUGGGGGAAGUCCUGAUGCAGGAAUGCCGCGGGCGGGAGGACGUGCUUCGGGUUGUAAACCGCUUUCAGCCAUGACGCGGUAGUGGCAGAAGAAGCACCGGCUAACUACGUGCCAGCAGCCGCGGUAAUAC
rnacentral:rRNA from 1 species